CUGCGGAAGGAUCAUUACA
rnacentral:rRNA from 1 species